UACGGGGGGGGCAAGCGUUGUUCGGAAUUACUGGGCGUAAAGGGCUCGUAGGCGGCCAACUAAGUCAGACGUGAAAUCCCUCGGCUUAACCGGGGAACUGCGUCUGAUACUGGAUGGCUUGAGAUUGGGAGAGGGAUGCGGAAUUCCAGGUGUAGCGGUGAAAUGCGUAGAUAUCUGGAGGAACACCGGUGGCGAAGGCGGCUCACUGGCCCGGUACUGACGCUGAGGUGCGAAAGCGUGGGGAGCAAACAGGG
rnacentral:rRNA from 1 species